AAAAAAAAAAUUAAAACAAUAUUAUUUUAAUAAUAAAAAAUAAAAUAAAAAUUAACCGGUUUUAACCGAGUUUUUGAUUGGGUCAAAACUAUAUUACAUAUUUUUUUAUACAAUUAUUUUGAAUUAAUUAUACCUUUAUUUGCAUAUAUUUUGUUUUUUAUUAAAACUUGUUUUUCAAAUCAUAACAUAUUUUUAUUCAAAAAAAUCAGGUUGUGAAUAAAAAUUAUAAGUUUCUAUAUAAAAUAAAUAAAUAAAACAAUGAAAAUUGUUAGAUAAAAUUUCACAAGAAACCCGCACGGUUAAAGGUCUAAAACUGUACACGGCAACCAAUACCUAAAGAGAUCUAAGUGAUUGCGUCCCGUCCCAGACAAAGGGUGAACAAAAUCUACUUAUUUUUAUUUAAAAUUUUUUUUAUAUUUUUGUAUUAUUGUUACUUAUUUAAAAAAAUAAAAAAAUAUAUAUCAUUUUAAUAUAUUUCUUAACCACCCUGACUGAUACCAUGCUUGCAAAAAUCACCUCGACGUAAACGAAAAAACACCAGAUUCGAAGAACUUGAAUUCCAUUGUUUUCCAGAAAAAGAAAAAACACAACCACAAAAAAAAGGAAUUCCCAGCAAGCACAGAAACAAGAUUUUCUUUCCCUUCUCAGAACGAAAUAGG
rnacentral:lncRNA from 1 species